UACGUAGGGUCCGAGCGUUGUCCGGAAUUAUUGGGCGUAAAGGGCUCGUAGGUGGUUUGUCGCGUCGGGAGUGAAAUCCCUGGGCUUAACCCAGGGCCUGCUUUCGAUACGGGCAGACUAGAGGCAUUCAGGGGAGAACGGAAUUCCUGGUGUAGCGGUGAAAUGCGCAGAUAUCAGGAGGAACACCAAUGGCGAAGGCAGCUCACUGGGACGGUAUUGACGCUGAGACGCGAAAGCAUGGGGAGCAAACAGG
rnacentral:rRNA from 1 species